rnacentral:lncRNA from 1 species
CGUGAAUAUAAGCAAUUAUAGAUCACCAUACGGCCUUCAACAAUGCAAACAAUCUAUAUUGUAUUUUCAUACGAUAUUCCCGCGCUUGUAUUUCCUUUCAUAAUUUCCUUGAUAGAAGGUUGCUGCUUACAAGUAAGCUAUUAAACCAAGAGUUCCAAAAGGUGAAUUUGAAAUCAUCCCUUCGUAAAUUUUACGGACGCCAUCACGAGUUGGUUAGACGUUAUGGAAUAACCGUUUCAAAGAUGAUAUCGUAUAUGUUUC